rnacentral:rRNA from 1 species
AUUGAACGCUGGCGGCAGGCUUAACACAUGCAAGUCGAGCGGAGAUGAGGUGCUUGCACCUUAUCUUAGCGGCGGACGGGUGAGUAAUGCUUAGGAAUCUGCCUAUUAGUGGGGGACAACAUUCCGAAAGGAAUGCUAAUACCGCAUACGUCCUACGGGAGAAAGCAGGGGAUCUUCGGACCUUGCGCUAAUAGAUGAGCCUAAGUCGGAUUAGCUAGUUGGUGGGGUAAAGGCCUACCAAGGCGACGAUCUGUAGCGGGUCUGAGAGGAUGAUCCGCCACACUGGGACUGAGACACGGCCCAGACUCCUACGGGAGGCAGCAGUGGGGAAUAUUGGACAAUGGGGGGAACCCUGAUCCAGCCAUGCCGCGUGUGUGAAGAAGGCCUUAUGGUUGUAAAGCACUUUAAGCGAGGAGGAGGCUACUGAGACUAAUACUCUUGGAUAGUGGACGUUACUCGCAGAAUAAGCACCGGCUAACUCUGUGC